ensembl:misc_RNA Metazoa_SRP Metazoan signal recognition particle RNA
GCUGGGCAUGGUGGCGUGCACCUAUAGUCCCCCCUACUCGAAAGGCUGAGGUGGGAGGAUCGCUUGAGCCCAGGAGUUCUAGUCUGUAGUGUGCUUUGCUGAUAGGGUGCCCACACUAAGUCUGGCAUCAAUAUCUUACCUCGUGGGAGCAGGGGACCACCAGGUUGCAUAAGGAGAAGUCAGCUGGCCCAGGUCAGAAACAGAACAGUCAAAACUCCCAUGCUGAUCAGUAUUGGGACUGCACAUGUGAAUAGCCACUGCACAUGUGAAUAGCCUGGGCAACAUGCUGAGACCUUGCCUCUU